rnacentral:rRNA from 1 species
UACGUAGGGCGCAAGCGUUGUCCGGAAUUAUUGGGCGUAAAGAGCUCGUAGGCGGCUUGUCGCGUCGGAUGUGAAAGCCCGGGGCUUAACUCCGGGUCUGCAUUCGAUACGGGCAGGCUAGAGUUCGGUAGGGGAGAUCGGAAUUCCUGGUGUAGCGGUGAAAUGCGCAGAUAUCAGGAGGAACACCAAUGGCGAAGGCAGCUCACUGGGACGAUACUGACGCUGAGACGCGAAAGCGUGGGGAGCAAACAGG